UCGGGGUAGACCUUCAGAUGUGUUUUGCUGAAUAUCACUUUCAGAAGAUCCCGGCUAAACUUCUUCUGUACAUUGCUGAGGAUGUCGUACACGACUCUCUCCACUGGGGCCAGGUUCUUACAUGUUUCUUGAUAUUCCUUAAAAUAGUGAAUGCAGAAUUGUGUCAUGAUGGAUUUAUGGGUUAUAUGAGGCUUACAUUGGUUCAAACACCAUUUCUCUUUUUUUGUAAAAUGUCUGAGUUUUGCAAAUACCGAGGUGACAUCUUACAUGUCCUCUGUACUAACAGACCCUAGCUCAUCUGAAAGAAGCUCUGAUGCUGACAAAUAGUAGACAGGGAAGAGAGGGUUUGAUGAAUAAUUAAAUGAUAUGUCUGUAAAAGCCAGGCCCUAACAGACCAUGAGUGGCAGCCUUGGGGUCCAGACAAUUAACUCCCCAAGGACUGAGCUGGUCUGAAGAGCUUGAGGAAACCAAGUGAGCAUAGCAUCCUAGCCACAGGGCAAAGAGAAUGCAUAAAGAAGAAAAAGUCUUUGUUAUCACUGCAGAUCCCAUCACUGACCUGUACCUCUCAUUCUAGGGCUUCAGAGUUGCCUGAAGAACCAGGAACAACUUGAAGAUAGAGAAGCAAACAGGAUUCCCCGAGUUCUGUCCUCACAUGACCCAACUGCCUCUGGCUCUGGGAUUUGGAGAAAGUAGGCUUUGGAAGGCAGCCCAGCUUAGGUGUGUCUACUUGCAUCCUAGUAUCUGUUGUUACAUUACACAAGUGACCCUGGGAUGCUCUGCACUUCGGAGCAUUCCUGCUUACUAUUCGUCGCUGUCACCAUGUGCCUCAGCCUCAGUUACUGCAGAGGUGAAUGUAAAUGGUUCCUGUGAUGUCUAUCCCUCCAGUUAUCUUCUGACUUACAAUGGUGAUGUCCCUUCUUCCCUGGAGGUGCUUCAGUCUGUUGGCUGCACCCAGAAGUACAGCAUGAUACAGCACAGGGCAGGCUUGCUGUCAGGACUGAGUUCAUUCUCCACACUCACCUGAAACUUCUGCUCCGAGAUGAAGUCUCGGUCUCGAAGGCUCAUGAGGAAAGGAAACGGCUUGGUGAUGGCACUUGCGAUCUCCACCUUGUUUUCUUUGAAGUGCUUGAACAUGAGCUGAUAGUCAUCUGACUCCUCUUCAUUCUGGUCCUCUGGGAUUGUCCUAGGGGACAGAUUCCAUGCAGAAGUAGAUACUGGUUUACAAGAUGCUACCAAUGGCUGGAUAAUUACUGACAUGAAGACUGGUCUGCUAAUAUAAAAUUAAAAUUUUAAACAUCUCAUUUAGUGAUCAAGUUCUGGUGCUUUGAGUUUGAUUUGCUCGGGACAGGGUUAUCAUCUGUAAGUCUGGCUUGCCUAAAAGUUACUAUGUAGACAAGGCUAUCCUCACACAUAAAUUUCACCUGCCUCUGCUGCCUGAGUGCUCAGAUUUAAAUUAUGUUCCAUCAUGUCCAGUACUGCGAUUAGUUUUAAUUGUCAACCUGACACAAUCUAUAAUCAUCUUGGAUUGUAUGAAUCUUAAUAAAUGAUUGUCUAGAUUAGGGU
rnacentral:lncRNA from 1 species